UACGUAGGGUGCGAGCGUUGUCCGGAAUUAUUGGGCGUAAAGAGCUCGUAGGCGGUGUGUCACGUCGUUCGUGAAAACCUGCAGCUUAACUGUGGGCGUGCGGUCGAUACGGGCAUCACUGGAGUUCGGCAGGGGAGACUGGAAUUCCUGGUGUAGCGGUGAAAUGCGCAGAUAUCAGGAGGAACACCGGUGGCGAAGGCGGGUCUCUGGAACGGUACUGACGCUGAGACGCGAAAGCGUGGGGAGCGAACAGG
rnacentral:rRNA from 1 species